rnacentral:rRNA from 1 species
AGAUGUAGCCAGAGCCAUCCCUGUAUUUCUCGCCUGGUUUCCCAUUGAAGCUAAGCAGGGUUGAGCCUGGCCAGUACCUGGAUGGGAGAGCUCCUGGGGAAAACUAAGGCUGCUGCUG